rnacentral:lncRNA from 1 species
UCUGAUCGAUUAUAUUUUUUCUAUUUCACAGAACAAUUGAAAAUGAAGGCCGUAAUAUUAUGCCUCGCUAUUAUGCUCUCUUACGCUCUACUGGUAGCAGCAAACGUCAAUACAACUGAUAGCAACGUAACAAUGUUUACUACACAAGGAAUGGAUGGGAAUAUGACAACUCAAAUUCCAGAAACUACCACUUCAGGAUAUUCGAUUGUUAUACCUUCAGUUUUGUUUGUCGGAGCAGCGAAUUUAUUACAGCGAUUUUUCUGAAUGAUUACUUUCAAUCAAUAAUAUUUGCAAUAUAAUUUUUUAUAUAAAUGUCUUGAAACAAUAUAAAUAAAAUCUUUGAUAAUUGUAUCACGAAUUUAAAUCUGUCUUCAUAUGUUCAAUGAUUAUACUACGAUUGAUGCCGAAAAAAAAUAACAGAGGAUGAAUAAUGAAAUUGAAUUUGCUAUCGGGUUUGGAGGAGCCGAAUAUAAAAAUGAAGAACAAACAAAACAAAGAGCAAAGACAAAAAAGAAGAAAAAUUCAAAAGUUGUGAAAUGGUGUAUUCCUGUAAUGAAUCCAGACCCAGAAUGAAGUAAAUUCCGGCAAAACCAUCAGAAAAUAAUAUGCUUACUCAAGUGUAAUUUGUUUAAAUAAAUAAUAUCAUUCUGACAUAAAAUAAAAA